rnacentral:rRNA from 1 species
UGCGUAGGUGGUUUCUUAAGUCAGGAGUGAAAGGCUACGGCUCAACCGUAGUAAGCUCUUGAAACUGGAAGUCUAGAGUGCAGGAGAGGAGAAGGGAAUUCCUAGUGUAGCGGUGAAAUGCGUAGAGAUUAGGAAGAACACCAGUGGCGAAGGCGCUUCUCUGGACUGUAACUGACGCUGAGGCUCGAAAGCGUGGGGAGCAAACA